rnacentral:rRNA from 1 species
UCCGCUGAGGAUGGCUUUUCCCCGGUGUAAUGAGCCGGGGGAAUAAGGAGAGGGCAAGACUGGUGUCAGCCGCCGCGGUAAUACCAGCUCUCCGAGUGGUAGGGAUGAUUAUUGGGCUUAAAGCGUCCGUAGCCGGCUUAGCAAGUCUCCUGUUAAAUUCAGCGACUUAAUCGUUGAGCCGCGGGAGAUACUACUGGACUAGGAGGCGGGAGAGGCCGACGGUAUUCUCGGGGUAGGGGUGAAAUCCUAUAAUCCCGGGAGGACCACCAGUGGCGAAGGCUGUCGG